rnacentral:rRNA from 1 species
UACGGGGGGGGCAAGCGUUGUUCGGAAUUACUGGGCGUAAAGGGCUCGUAGGUGGCCAACUAAGUCAGACGUGAAAUCCCUCGGCUUAACCGGGGAACUGCAUCUGAUACUGGAUGGCUUGAGUUUGGGAGAGGGAUGCGGAAUUCCAGGUGUAGCGGUGAAAUGCGUAGAUAUCUGGAGGAAUACCGGUGGCGAAGGCGGCAUCCUGGACCGAGAUUGACACUGAUGAGCGAAAGCCAGGGGAGCAAACGGG